rnacentral:rRNA from 1 species
UACGAAGGGUGCAAGCGUUAAUCGGAAUUACUGGGCGUAAAGCGCGCGUAGGUGGUUCGUUAAGUUGGAUGUGAAAUCCCCGGGCUCAACCUGGGCACUGCAGUUGGAACUGGAAAGCUAGAGUAGGGUAGAGGGGUGUGGAAUUCCAGGUGUAGCGGUGAAAUGCGUAGAUAUCUGGAGGAACAUCAGUGGCGAAGGCGACACCCUGGACUCAUACUGACACUGAGGUGCGAAAGCGUGGGGAGCAAACAGG